rnacentral:lncRNA from 1 species
GGCGGGCGCUCUAGGACUGCUCCGUCAGCGAAGGGGGCGGGGGUGCGAGGCGAGCGGUCGGACCAGAGAGAGGCCGGUGGCUGCAGGCGGCCCCGGUGCUGAGGGGAGCUUAUCUGUGGUGCAGCUACUACCUUUUCCUUCUAUUGGGAAUCUCCACUGUUCUGUGUGCUGUCAGAAGACACUACUAACUAAUAUAAGCACUUCAAGGGUCUGAAAAGUCCUGGAUCCUGAUAGGCUGUGAGGAGGUAGAAGUUAAAGAUCUUGUGAUCCUUAUAAAAAGGGAAUAACGGG